GCUCCCUCCGCGCCAUCACGACUCCUACGGAGGCAGCAGUAAGGAAUAUUGGUCAAUGGACGCAAGUCUGAACCAGCCAUGCCGCGUGAAGGAUGAAGGUCCUCUGGAUUGUAAACUCUUUACCUGGAGAAACCAUAUUUCUAAUGUGGUUGACGGUACCACGAUGAAUAAGCACCGGCUAACUCCGUGCCAGCCGCCGCGGUAAUAC
rnacentral:rRNA from 1 species